rnacentral:lncRNA from 1 species
AUAAUGUUCAAAAUCAUGAUAACAUUGUAUCAUAAAGCUGCAGCGGAAAGGUAGAGCAAAUGGGCCUCAUCUACUCCCAGAGGAGAGAGCAUGUUGGAAUGUAAGCACAUGACCCAAAGAAUAUCGACGAACCUCACUCUUCGUCAGUUUCACCUGCAUUAUUAAUUGCAGCCACUACGUGGUCAAUACAUUUGAAUGUAUUGG